AAUUUCUGCCUUGUCAUUAAUCUCGCUUCCGAGCGUUUUUUUAUUGGCUUGGCAUCUUCUGGAUUUGGUGCCUUCGGGUACUAUUUUCCAGGAUUUACUUUGAGAAAACUAGAGUGUUUCAAACAGGCAUUCGCCUUGAAUACUACAGCAUGGAAUAAUGAAGUAGGACUUUGGUUCUAUUUUGUUGGUUAUUGAGCCAGAGUAAUGGUUAAUAGGAGCAGUUGGGGGCAUUCGUAUUUAACUGUCAGAGGUGAAAUUCUUAGAUUUGUUAAAGACGAACUACUGCGAAAGCAUUUGCCAAGGAUGUUUUCAUUAAUCAAGAACGAAAGUUAGGGGAUCGAAGACGAUCAGAUACCGUCGUAGUCCUA
rnacentral:rRNA from 1 species